UGGACUUUUAAAAACGGGAUCGCACGGCGUGUGAGCUUCGGCGUCCGACUCCUUUCCCGCGGUGCCAGGUCCCCGAGGCCCAUCACGCUGCAGCCUGUGUGACAGCUUCGUUCCUUUCAAGGCCGGAGAACAUGCCUUGUGUGGAUGGAACACGUUUGCUUUAUUCAUUCACCCUCUGAUGGACACGGUGUCACUAUGUUGCUCAAGCUGGUCCCGAACUCCCAG
rnacentral:lncRNA from 10 species